AUGGCACACACUCCUCCGCAGGUCACCUUUCGACGCAACAUACACUCACUCUCUCCAUCUCGCCUAUCCUCUGUGGUUUCAUCCUCACUUCCUUCACACUCUCCGUUUUCAGCUCUGGACAUGAACAGUGCUACUCUUUGCUCCACCUCUAGCUUGGACAACUUUUGCCCACUGUCGUCUAGACCAGCACGCACCUCCCCAUCUGCCCCCUGGCUGUCCGAUGUACUCCGUGAACAUCGCUCUAAACUCAGGGCUGCAGAGAGGAAAUGGCUUAAAUCAAGAAACUCUACCGACCUCAGUGUGUAUCAGUCUCUCCUCUCUUCCUUCUCUGCAAACGUCUUCACUGCUAAAACAUCAUACUACCAUGACAAAAUUAACAACUGUUCUGACUCUCAAACACUUUUCAAAUCUUUCUCUUCUCUUCUUUUUCCUCCUCCACCUCCUCCUCCAUCCACUCUUACAGCUGACGACUUUGCAGUUUUCUUCACAAAUAAGACAAGAACCAUCAGUGACCAAUUCUCCACACCGCAGACUGAGGAUAACUUUACAACGACUAAUGCACACUCUCUCUCCUCCUUCUCUUCACUCUCAGAGACGGAUGUUUCCAAACUUAUCCUGUCCAGUCAUCCUACUACUUGCCCACUGGAUCCGAUCCCCACUCACCUCCUUCAAGCGAUUUCUUCUUCUGUCAUACCUUCACUUACUCACAUUAUCAACUCCUCUCUUCACUCUGGAACAUUUCCCUCAGCAUUUAAGCAGGCUCUCGUAAGCCCACUGCUGAAGAAACCAUCUCUAAAUCCAGCACUUUUAGAAAACUACAGACCGGUAUCCCUUCUUCCAUUCAUUGCAAAGACACUUGAGCAAGUUGUGUUCAACCAGCUCUCUAUGUUUCUUGUACAGAACAACCUCCUGGACUGCAAACAAACUGGCUUCAAAAGUGGCCACUCAACUGAGACUGCCCUGCUCUCGGUUACUGAAGCCCUGCGACUGGCAAGAGCAGCUUCAAAAUCCUCAGUACUCAUUUUGCUGGACCUGUCUGCUGCUUUUGACACCGUUAAUCACCAGAUUCUUCUGUCCACCCUCAGAAAGAUGGGCAUCUCUGGAACCGCACUCCAGUGGUUUAAAAAGUGA
rnacentral:lncRNA from 12 species